GAUGAACGCUGGCGGCGUGCCUAAUACAUGCAAGUCGAGCGAACGGACGAUAAGCUUGCUUCUCUGAUGUUAGCGGCUGACGGGUGAGUAACACGUGGAUAACCUACCUAUAAGACUGGGAUGACUUCGGGAAACCGGAGCUAAUACCGGAUAAUAUUUUGAACCGCAUGGUUCAAAAGUGAAAGACGGUCUUGCUGUCACUUAUAGAUGGAUCCGCGCUGCAUUAGCUAGUUGGUAAGGUAACGGCUUACCAAGGCAACGAUGCAUAGCCGACCUGAGAGGGUGAUCGGCAACACUGGAAAUGAGACACGGUCAAGACUACUACGGGAGGCAGCAGUAGGGAAUAUUCCGCAAUGGGCGAAAGCAUGACGGAGCAACGCCGCGUGAGUGAUGAAGGUCUUCGGAUCGUAAAACUCUGUUAUUAGGGAAGAACAUAUGUGUAAGUAACUGUGCACAUCUUGACGGUAACUAAUCAGAAAGCCACGGCUAACUACGUG
rnacentral:rRNA from 1 species